CGUAAUGCAUUAACAGUUGACAGCCUAUCUUAUGAUGUGUACUCUGUUUACAUUACAGUUGUUUAUUAGUUUACUCGUUUGUUUUGCGACUGAUGAAAUGCCGGCAUAUAUAUAUUUUCAACAUUUGACUUAACCCUGUAUGUUUUGCAGGGACAACCGAGGACGUGCAUUUCUCAGCACCCAGUCAACUGCCAAAAGUGACUCAAACACAGGCCACCAGUGGAACUCGGCUGUACCACUGCAGUGCUGUGGAAAUUGCCUUCACCAGCGGCUUUGCAACAGCUGUUUCGCAGCAUGUCGGAGACAAUGCCUACGAAAUUAUUGGCCUUGAUCAUGAGAGCCCUCAAGGGGCAAACAACAUCUCUGUUGCAGAAGUGAGCCCGAUACCACUUGGAAGUUACCAUGACAGAUGACACGGCAGCAAUAGAUACAGAGACUGCCAUGUCUACUGCAGCUGCAACAGUGUACGAGGCAAGCAGCAGCGCGUCAGCAUCAGCAGCAGUGUCAGAAGGAACCACACCAGGCCUGGUAGAGCAACAUGUGUGCUAUCACUGACUUUUUUUUUGUAGUGGAUACAACUCAUUUGCUCAACAUGCAAAAGCUUUUCACCACGACUGUGAGCCAGUGUUAUUGUGCAGCAAGUGCAAGACUAAGUUAGGUGUUAUAACACAGUACAAGCAUCACUUUAAUAUAUGCAAAUGCAAACAUAUUACAGUUGUUGCCUCCCCAGCCAGCCCACAUAGUGACAACAACGUGGAACACAUGGUGGGACACACCUCUCCCCCAUUACAAGAUAGUAGAGACUGUCAGUGUUGUUGCUAGAUUGACUGGUCUUUGUAGGCAACUAGAAGGACAACACAGGUGUCAUAAGAUUGUUGUUGAUGCUGUUGUUGAAGAGGUAAAAAAGAUGUUUGAUGCAGCUGAAGUGUCAACUGAUAUUGAGCAAAUCAAAAGCAACCACCUGAGAAAGCAACACUAUCGAAAUUUGGGUAUCUAUGUGCCGCCAACUCUGGUAAGAAUGGCAUAGGACAGAAGUGUGAUGAAAAGCACACAGACACUGCUGUUGCAUCACUGGCCACAGUGAGCAACAGCAUAGAGCAAGUUUUUAAUUUAUAUUUUUCUGCAUUCUUGUGCUUGCACUAAGCUUGUAUAAGGCAGUUACAAAAUGUGCGUCACUAUAACGAACUGCUCUGUUGAGCUUACACUUGCAAAUAAUCGUGUUCAGAUGGCCGCACUUCUAUGCGGGUGCACCGCUAGCUUUGUGUAUGUUCUCAUGUUUGUAUAAAGCUUAUAUAAGCUAGUUAGAAAAUGUAUGUCACUAAGCAUUGUGAUAUUCUUUAAAGAACUGCUUGGUUGGUUUUACACUUGUGAAUUAGUAUUGAGGCGGUGGUAUUCCCAUGUAUGCCCACUGCUAGCUUUCUGUGUCCUCACGUGUUUGUAUUAAGUUUCUACAAGGGAGUUACAGCAUGUACGUCACUAAGCGCUGUGAUAUUUUUUAAAGAACUGCUUUGUUGGUUUUACACCUGUGAGUAAUAGUACUCGGGUGGCACUAGUCAUGUGUAGGUACACAGGGACCAUUUGUAUACAUUAUGCUCAUGUAAAGCAGUUACAAAGUGUAUGUCACUAAUUACUGUGAUAUUUGUUGAAUUGCUGUGAUGGUUUUACACAUGUGAAUAAUAGUG